AUUGAACGCUGGCGGCAUGCCUUACACAUGCAAGUCGAACGGUAACGCGGGGGCGAACCCUGGCGACGAGUGGCGAACGGGUGAGUAAUACAUCGGAACGUACCCAGUAGUGGGGGAUAGCUCGGCGAAAGCCGGAUUAAUACCGCAUACGACCUAUGGGUGAAAGCGGGGGAUCGCAAGACCUCGCGCUAUUGGAGCGGCCGAUGUCGGAUUAGCUAGUUGGUGAGGUAAAGGCUCACCAAGGCUACGAUCCGUAGCUGGUCUGAGAGGACGACCAGCCACACUGGGACUGAGACACGGCCCAGACUCCUACGGGAGGCAGCAGUGGGGAAUUUUGGACAAUGGGCGAAAGCCUGAUCCAGCCAUGCCGCGUGUGUGAAGAAGGCCUCGGUUGUAAG
rnacentral:rRNA from 1 species